rnacentral:lncRNA from 1 species
UUAGCAUAUCGGCGGUGGUGAGGAGCGGAUUCGCCGAAUUCGGAGAGGAUUCGCCGAAUUCGGAGACGUGAGUUGGUGAAUCUGUUUUGCUGAAAAAAGAAGGUGUGCAUCAGUGAUGGCCGUUUUAACGUGUUUUCGGCGAGCCUUUUGCAAUUUCCGACGAGUUACAGUUUCAUAGUUCAUUUUCUGUUCAGUUCUGAUUUUUUCGAUUUUGUUAUUUUGGACUGUUGUUAUUGGGUUGUUGAUGAAGAUUGUUGCAUUUGAAGAAAGUUGAGAAUGUUCUUUUUUGCUAUGAAUGAAUUUUUCUACUGUGUUCUUAGUAGUUUCCAGGUUGCUGUGAAUGACUUUUCUUAAUAUAAUUG